GAUACUAAGCAGCACCUUCAUCUUUGUCAUCUAGUAGUAUAAAGACAAAAAGAUCAGUCUUGAUCUUAAGAAAAAGGAGCUUAAGAAAACUGAUCUGUACCGGGAAAUGCUUUUGAUCUAUAUUUGCCAUAAAAGGGCAAACUAGUACAUGUAAGCAUGUAUGUACAUAUGUAACUCCACACUUUCUUUACCUUGCUUACAACUUGAAAUUUGAUGAGA